GGAGAAUGAGGCAGGAAGUAGUCGAUCGAAGGAGAGGGCUUUUUUUUUCGGGGAAUGAGGAAUGGAAUAGGUCUGCACACUAUGAUUGUGAAAUAGGCUGUGACAAUAGCAAACAAUGGAAUCAGGGUGACAAAUAUAGAAAAUUGUUCAACUUUAAUUUGGCAUCCCUUUUUUUGGAUUUGUACUGCAUGAAUUAUUAAGCCAGGCAUUCCGGAGUGUCCUGCCGCCUCCUUCAGUGUGUGGCAGGCAGGCAGGCAGUCCAGGCGCUCAUAUACAAAGCCAGCACGUUUCACUGUGUCUGCAGCCGAGCAGAGCACCACCUCCAGCAGCAGCAGACCGGGGAGAUUUUUUUGGGGGGAGCACGGUUGGAGCCCCGACGCAUCUGAACGGCAUCAGCCUCGAGAGCUCUCCAUGAUCAGAAUGGAUCUGUUGGCUGUUGAAUGAGCGGAGGUGUCGCUGUCCGAGGUGCUGAAAUCAGCAGACCAGCCGUUCCCCCUUUCCUCCCCAGUCGAGACAGUACGCAUGAACUGACGUGAACGCCGAGCAGCAGACCCGACGGCUCAGCAGCUCGGCGGUUAACACAGCAGCUCCCCCGGCCAGAGUAAAUGGGAGCGUUAGAAAGAUGGAGAGCUUUUUGUUCCCGCUCGUCCUCAGCUGUCUCUGCGUCUCUCGAGUCACAGCAGAUAGCUUGUCGCCUCCUGUCAAUGUGACCAUCAGCGCAGUGAAAGCCAACUCUGCUGUGGUGACAUGGGACAUCCCCGAGGGAGACCCGGUUAUUGGCUUUGCCAUCACACAGCAGAAGAAAGACGUGCACAUGCUGCGAUUCAUCCAGGAAGUCAACACCACCACACGCUCCUGUGCAUUAUGGGACUUGGAGGAAGAGACAGACUACAUUGUGCAUGUCCAGUCCAUCAGCAUGUCUGGGUCGAGCCCGCUGAGCGAACCCCUGCGCUUCCGAACACCCAAGGAGGCCGAGACCCAGGCCUCUAAGAGUAAAGACGAGGUGACGAUGGAAGAAGUGGGCCAGAGCACCCAGAUGAGGGCGGGGGAGCUCAUCAUCAUCGUGGUGGUGCUGAUCAUGUGGGCAGGUGUGAUCGCUCUCUUCUGCCGUCAGUACGACAUCAUCAAAGACAACGAGCCCAACAACAACAAGGACAAAGCCAAAAACUCCUCCGAGUGCAGCACUCCUGAACAUCCGACGGGGGGGCUGUUGCGCAGUAAGGUAUAACCCACCCACCCAUCCUCCUCCUCUUCCUCCUCCUCCUCUUCCUCCCCUCUGGGUGCCUCCCCUACAGCGACUCCGGGCAGUUCCCUAAGAACAACAACAACAACAAUAGGAUGCCAUCUGUCAACAUCAUUGAGGUGUGACUGCGAGGACGUUGUCUCUUUAUCCAAAAGACUAUGUGUUCUCGUCAACAAGCGGGCCCCUUUUAGGCCCAUCUGCUUGUCAGGAUGAGGCUGGGACUCAGGGCCCUUUACUCUCCUCUGGCGGGGCUGAAGCCAAGCUGCUCCAGUCGGGGGGGUCGGACACAGCCUGGCCGGUCUGAGGGCAGAGUCUGGGUGGGCUCAGAGGCUGCACCCUGCUCUGUAAGUACUCUACCGCGGGGCCGAUGGGGGGCCAAGUGGCUCCGACAGUGAGACUGCAGCUGCACCUACCCCAGGGACCAAAGUCUACGAACAGAGCCAGAGACCUUUUCAUUCUCUCUCUCGUCACCUCUUUCUUCUCACCGUUUUUCAGUUCAUUAUCAACAACCACAAAUAAGACCUUUCACCAUAUGAGUGGCACUUGUCGUACCUUUUUUUCUUCAUAAUAUUCAGCUUUAUGAAUUGAAAGAAAAACACUGUAGAUCAUUCAUUAUUCUGAAUAAUAAUUCAGAAACGUUCAGUGGGAACUGUUUUCAUUCUGCCGAGCUCCUUUUCCCCCCUCAGGGAAACAGAGUCCACCUGGCUGCUUUAGGACUCGUUUCUUAGAUGUGCUGCAGUGACGUCAGAGCAGCCUUAGAGGAGCUGAAUCACCCACCUUCGUCAUAUUGAAGGCUUAUCUGAGUAUGUAACAGGCCAGGUGGUUUCAUCUUGGCCACACUUGCUUUUGCCCUCUAACUUCUGUCAUGCUUUUUUAAUAGAUUUCCUGAAUUGUUACAUUCCACAUCCAGGAUGAGCCCUUUAGUAUUUCCUUGUGUCUUUCUCUGUGAGGGGGAUGAAUUUCAUUAUGGAGCUGCGUUCAUUGAAUGCAUUUAAAAAGAGGGGGUGGACUCUACUGAUGUCUGUGGAGACCCCAAAGAGAUCCCUUAUAUCAGCAAUAACAGUGGAAACAAGGACUCUGUGGCCUGUUUGUCCAAAACUCGAGCUCCCAGCAUGCAUUGUUCAGACGAAUUAACAAACUGCACAUCGACUAUGAGGGAAUUUACAGGGGAUCCCUCCCCUUAACCUUAAGAGAAAAGUAUUUCAGCGCUGUUGUAAAAUCUUUCGGAUGGAGAGCAUGGGGGGGGGAAAUAUGUUUUAUGGGCCCAACAUUCAACCCAGAGACUUCCUUAUGACAUUAGCAGAUGUCACCAAGAAGGAAGGGCUUCUAUCAAGACUUUUUUCACAAAUCAAAGUCAACAUUGCUUUGAAACUACGUGUUGAGAACACUAAAAAGGGAUCCACUGUUAUACGGUACUGUGCACUGUAAAGGGACUUGUUUUCAGAAAGCAAAUGGUGUAUGUGAGGGCUGAUCACUCAGCUCGGCUCAGUAGUACUGCCUUAAAAACAAUUGUAUUUAUGAUUGAUCUUAUACGACGGAAAGCCCUGUAUACCUGUCUGAUUCAUUAGCUUUCACAUGAUAAUUAAAUGUGUCCGCAAGAGUGAAAAUGAACAUGUGCUGAGGUUAGUUGGCAAAUCUGGUUGACAUUGAAUGUGUAAAUACAUUUUAUAUUUCAUUCCUGUUUGGUAGUGUCAGCCUAGAGAGCCUUUAAUGAAAUAUGACUAAUGUGCAACAUGUAUAGAAUCUAAAUGUUAAAGGGUACCGGUCGUUUGUUCAAGCUGGUGACAAUGUAGGUGAUUUCUUUUGUCAAUACACUGCUGUUAAAGUCUUUUGAAAGCACUCCUCUUUUAUUAUGCAUUUCUAUUCAUUGGUCGUGCUUUUUUGAUCCGGAAAAAUAUGAAAAAAGUACUGGAAUAAUCGUGAAACAGUGGCUAGGAAUCUGUGUUGUCGGGCAGAAUGAUAAACAGCUGAUCUCUUGUUCCGCAUCUCAUUUUCACUCAUUGUGAAACCAAUACAUGUGUGUAUAAACACAACAUGUCACAACUCUGCCAGGCAGAAAAAUUGGCUCCGAGAGCAAUGAAGGUUGAGUGGAAGUGGGUAGAAUGAUGGCUCUUAUCACUCCCUAUCCUUUUAUUGCUAAGAGUGGAAAAGCACGAGGUUGUGCUCCACCAAUGAGCACUGAAUCAUGGCAGAUGCAGGAACAGGUUUAGAGAAAAUUCACAUUGUGGGAAAAGGGAGAAAGAACCAGGUCCUUCUACCUUUAGGACAAACCCCUCACAACUGUAUUCUGCUGCAUAACCCAGUGAUCAGCACUACGGCAAAAAACCUUUGCGGAUGAAGGCUGGAUACAUUUUUCCCCAGGAACACUAGUUCUCCAAUUGAUAGACCUCCAUCCACACACAUAAACGGAUAAUGAUGAUUAUCCCCCUGGAUGUUUUAUUUUAAGUUAUUUCUAUAAGAAAUAAAACAUGUAGGCAUUUUUGUUGAAAUGCACUUAAUGAAUCAAAUUUGAAAAUGUGAGGUUUACUUCAGCUUGGAAUACAUAUUUUCUUCCUAAUGAUUAUGGUGUCAUAUAAUCGAAAUAUGUAUUCAAAUCAAAUUGACGUUUCUAAAUACAAAAUGAAAAACUGAGGACCACCAACUCCAAAUUAUGCUAUUAUUCCUUACACUCAUUUUAGUGCAGGUUUAUUGUAAACGUACACUUUUGUGGCCGGUUAUUGUCCAUAUUUAAUGCUAAAGAAAUAGUAUCACAAUAUGGGAAACAGUUUAUUCACUUUAUUACAACGUAAGAAACAGCCCAGCUAGCAGGGAACGUUCUCACAACUUUGGCUAACGUUACCUACAGGUUCUAAUAAUGUUUUAAAGAAAACGUUUUAAGAAGGUUAUCACCAAACAUUUUAAGAAUGUUUUUAGAGAACGUUUUCCUACCUUUCAGAAGAACAUUCUGGGAACCAAAAGAAAACUUCCCGCUGAAAACAUUCCUAGAACAGUGAAUGGUAACAUUCUCAGAAUGUUUUUAGAACCAAACAUUUCUAAGUGGGAGGUCGUAUUAAACUCAGAAAUGAUUGGUUCUCUCAGUCACCAAUUCUCUUGAUUCUGGGCACUACAUUAUUCACCAAAUAUCGAACCAUUUCUUUAAGUGAUGCAGUUUCUACAUAAAGGCGAUGUGUUUGAGUGAGCUACUACACAGAGGUGAUUAUCCAGCAGUUUGAUGAUUAACAGCUGUGGAAUAUAAUUUGACAGAUGCCGGGUUUGACAAUGUUAAACAACUAGACAUGCUAUGAUGAAUCAGAGGAAGAUAUGUGGCUAUUUCACACAUCUCAUUUCCGGGGGUGGAGUGCAAUGAAGUCACAUGUAACUGUUAACUAAAUAAACUGGACUCACAUUAUUUCUAGUUGUAGGAAUAACCAGCCACUUCUGGUGUUCAUGGUUAAUUUUACACCCAUCAACUAUAAAUAAAAUAUAUUUUUCCUUAAUGA